rnacentral:rRNA from 1 species
UACGUAGGGUGCGAGCGUUGUCCGGAAUUAUUGGGCGUAAAGAGCUCGUAGGCGGUUUGUCGCGUCUGCUGUGAAAACCUAAGGCUCAACCUUGGGCUUGCAGUGGGUACGGGCAGACUAGAGUGCGGUAGGGGUGACUGGAAUUCCUGGUGUAGCGGUGGAAUGCGCAGAUAUCAGGAGGAACACCGAUGGCGAAGGCAGGUCACUGGGCCGCAACUGACGCUGAGGAACGAAAGCGUGGGGAGCGAACAGG